AUAAAAGAAAAGAAAAACUAACUAGGGCAUGCGAGCUUCUCUUCUCUCGUAGCCUAUUGCGCCGCAAUGUCAAAUUCUUCACAAGGAAGAGGUAACAGUUUUCCUUGCACUCCCUUCUUUUUUUGGCAACGCCGUCGUGUUGCUACUAACACAGCUUUGAUUUUUUUUUUUCAGUGUUGCUAAGGUGCUCCCCCGUUUGAUUUAUAUUUGCAUUUCGUGGUUUUUAAUUUAUUUUAAGAGUGGUGCAUUUAUACUUUUUGGGAUUACCAUUUUUUUUUUUUUUGUGGUAGGUCUGUUAGAGUUUGGGAUUUGGAAGAGCAUGGUGAAGGUUCAGAUAAAUAACAAGGAAGAAUUUUCCGUAAUGAGGAAAGGUGAUUACAGUGAUUGACAGUUUGUUAGUCACUUGUGUAUUGUUGCAGUCACAACGGUAAAUAUUUAAAAUUACUUUGAGUUAUUUUCUAUUACCCACAUAGAAGAAAAGUUUUAUAGACUUUGCUCUGCUACAUAUUCCAUAUAAAAUAUUUAGCUAAUAAAUGAUAUUUAAACUUUUUUAAAAUUAAUUUCUAGUUAUUUUUUUUUUUGUGAUUGAUGAGAUAGUUUUUUCUCCACCGAGUGUCCGAAAAUUUCUAAUGCACUUAGCGCAAUGACUUCCCUUUCCUUGAGUGCAUCUUCUUGCUUGCGAGCAGUCUAUUUCUUCCUUUGUUCCAUUGUUUUGUUUGGGAUACUUACAAUUCAUAUUUUCUUUGUUAUAGUUAGGGUUAAAUAUAUGUGGAUUGGAUAGGUUCAUUUUCAUACUUUGUAGUUGAACAAAGUGUAGAGUAAUUGUAGUUUGGAAUCUCAUUUUUAAUUUGUUUACAAUAGACAUGGCACGUGGAAGUUUUUUUAUGAUGUUUCUAUUUGAUUGAGUUUUUAUUUGAUUGAGUUGUUGAUCUGUAAUUAUCAUUUUUGAAUGAAUAGGAUCUUUAAAAAAAUAAAAUAAAUUAUUUCAUCAUUUUUGAAAAUUUAAAAUAUAUUAAAAAAAUAAAAAUUUUCAUAUAAAUGAAUUUGUUCAAAUUUAUUAAGUUCUUUAUGAUCAUUAUUAAAAGGUAUGUUUUCCUUUCAAUCAAUAUAUUGUGCUAAUAAUUACUUUCACUAUUUUAGGCAUUAGGAUUAACCACACUCUGAUAUUACAAAAGAUAUGAGAAUGACUAACACUUUGUAAAGAUAGAAAAUCUAGUUGAGUUGAUUUUUCAUGUUUGUAAAAUAUCAAACUGACUUUGUAAAAGGUUCAAGAUCUUCUCUCAAAUAUUGUAUAUGUUUUAUCAAUUUUAAAUAUAGUAUAUGACGGGUGACAUAAGAAGAAUUAGAAAUAUAGUAGAGUCAUAAAACAUAUUUAAAAAUGAUAGAACCGAUUUUGCAUAUUCAUAAUCCUCUCAUGUCUUGAAUAAUGUCUUGAAUAAUGUAGUUGGAGAAUAUUUGACAUAUUGAAUUGAACUACUCAUUUUUAAAAUUCAAUUUUUGAUAUCUUUUAAGUCAUCAUUCACAAUCAAACUUAAUAAUGAACACAAUACAUGAACUUAUUCUUCCUUUAAAAAAAAAGUUUCCACGAUAAUAUCUUUCUUUUGAUAUCAAAAGAAGGAAGUUAUCAUGUAACUGUCUUGUCUUGAAGGGAGAAUAUGUUCAUAUGCGUCAUUGUACUCAUACGUUAAGUUUGAUUCUGAAGGAUGAUUUAAAAGAGAUCAAACUUUGAAUUUAAAAAAUGAGCAGUUCAAUUGAAUAUGUCAAAUGUUAUCCAUUCAAAGCAUGUAUUUAACCAGAGAAAAUUUUUUAUAAAUGAAUUGUUUGUCUUGAUGUUGAAAUUAAGUGGAAUUCGACUUAAUUGUUAGAGGCAAACUUGAAAUACAAAGAUGCAUUUGUCUUUAGUUGAUAUGUAAGAUAAGAAAUUUGUUGUUGAAAUAACCAUUAGAGGAGGAUUAGCAAUAUGCAAGGUUUGUUUUGUCUUUUUUUAAAUAUGUGUUACGACUCUACAAUAUGAAUUUUUUAUUCUUCUUAUGUCAUCAAUAUGUAUAUAAAGGAGGUAUUUCAAAUUGGUAAAAACAUUCGAAAAUAUUUUAAGAAUACUGAUGUGAGUAUAAAAUUGAUGAAAGGUAAAUAUGUAAAAUAUUAAAAAAAUCCUAAUGGAAUUAAUAUCUUUUUAUUGAUUACUAUUGCGUUUGACUAAGGUAGAUUUUGUUAUAUAUUUGAAUAUAAUAUGGUCAGAAAAUUGAAAUCAAAAUUAUUGUCAUAUUUAAAAUAUUACCAUUAACAUGUUUGGUUGGAAUUCAAUAAUUUAAGAUAAAAGUUAAAAUUAUUUUUGUUAAAAAAUAAAAAAUAAAAGGAAAAUUAAAAUAAUGCUGUGGGAAAUUUCAGAUUGGUCUGAAUUUUUAUUAUCAUACUAUAAAAAAUAUAAAAAAAUAUUCUAGUUGAUAUACAUUGCGUUUCCUGUCUUAAAUAAAACUAUGAAGAUUGAUAUGAAUGUAUGUAGUAGGUGUGUUUGCCUCUAACAUGUUCUUUCCGUUUGAUCUUAAAAGUUUGUCUACUUAAUUAUUAUGCUUAUGCUACACAAGACCACAUUUUGUUGGCUGCUCCAAAGUCAGAACUACAUACUAUGAUGACAUUGACGAAGUAAGUUACAUUAUUGGUAAGUAUCAGAUGAUGAUUUUGUUGUCAGGAUAUUAUUGAUGAUGAUCUUGAUUUCAACCCUCAGCUCAUCAAAAUGGCCAUUCAAUAUUUUAUUUGAUUUUAAUUGGUUAAUAUUUUUAAUAGAAUACGAGAUUGUUUUCUGUGAUAUUAUAUUCUGUCUCUUUUUUAUGGCAAAACAUCGCACUUCUGUUAGUCGUAAUGAUUCUGUAACAUGCACUUCUCUUCCAGUUAAAUAAUUUUAUUUACGGCUUGAAUGUUAUUUUCCUCAAACUAUUAUAAAGAAAUUAUAUUUAUUUUAUAUUUUAUAAUAAUAUCGUAAAAUAUUAUUUUCAACAAAUGUUAUGGUUAUAUUAUACUUUAUUAUGAAACUAUGUUUCUUAUAUAGAAAUGUUUUAUAUGAUUUUCGAAAAAUAGAUAGGAUCCAAGAAAUUGUUACCCAAACUCGAACGAAAAACGUAUUAAUCCGGAUUUGACGUAAACAAUUGGGUUUUAAAUCGGUUAAACUGAAACAUUAUCGAAUUUAUUUGCCUUACACAACUAUGAAACUAAGGAUGUGAAAUCUUCAAGUGUUGGGUUGUGUACAUUUAUUCAAAUUAAAUUCAUAUAUAUGCUACAAAACCCUUGUAUUUGAAUGUGUUUGGUUGUUUGAAUUAAAGAGAGUAAUUAAAUUAUUUACUUUUUUUUUAUUUUUUUUCUAUGUGAUGUAAAAUAGG
rnacentral:lncRNA from 1 species